GAGGGCGUAGCUCAGCGGUAGAGCUCAUGCUUCACGUGCAUGAGGUCGUGGGUUCAAUCCCCAGUACCUCCA
rfam:Camelus ferus unplaced genomic scaffold scaffold73, whole genome shotgun sequence.